AAGAAAUGUUCAGUAAUGUAUUUAUAGUAAUUUUUUCUUUAGGGGAGAAUAUAAUAAUGGAUUCAUCAGCAAGUUGUGAGAUCGCUUUCCCAGAAAAAAGAAAUCAGGAGUUAAAUAUGUCUGAUGAAGAAAAUGAAGAUUUCACGAUUCUUGCACAGCUAAAUCACCAGAAACUGACAAUUUGAUUGAUCAAGCUCAGCCAAAUUUUAGUUUGUAUUCCCAAUUUAAAAGCAUCACUAAUUCAUCUCCGUCAACCCCAAAUGCAAUCUCAGGAAUACUUCCAAAAGAUCUGCAUGUGAUUCUAAGCAGACUUGCAUCAAUAGAGACAAAGCAGGCCAUGCAUUCACAAAUUUUGAAUUCAAUCCUUAAUGCUGUAACUCAGCAUAAAAGUUAUGAUACUUUGCCUGAAGGCAUAAAUCUUCCUCUUGAUUGUAUACAAGAAUUAAAAGAUUUUGAUGAGAAACUAAAAGAAAAUAGCACUUUCAAGUUAUUAGUAUGUUAUUUCCAUAAUUUUGAUGUUGGUUUUUUUGAAUGUAUAUAUGUUCUACUAUAUUUUAUACAUAUUUAUAUAUUUU
rnacentral:lncRNA from 1 species